UGUCAAGGAACGUUCAAAUUGCUAUCUUGCCAGCUGUGAAUUAUUUCCUUUGCUCUGGAGUUUGCACUGGCAUGUGGGGAGAGGGUAGGUAGCAAAGAUCCCUUGAAUUUCCAGAGUACAAAAUUAGGGAGUACAGAAUUCCACUGCAUCAUUCCAAAGGAUCCAGAUUGAGUAAAAAAUAAUGUGCUAUCUACGAUAAAACACAGAAUGCGGAUGAUGGUGCUGAUGGGAUUUGAUGCUGGCCAACCCAAAUCAGGAAAAAAGAAAUGUCUACUUCAAACUUGCAUGCCACGAAUUAUUUUUCACAAGGUGAACAUGUUUUUAAUCUGCGAUAGUAUAAUUUAUGUUCCGACGAGCAAGGAGUUUUAGAGGAUCAGAUUAGUGGCUCAUCGAGCGGUUGGAACAGCACACCGCAUUCCUGAACUUCCCACACAAAUGUUUCCAUGCACUUUAGUCCGUUCUGAAGCCUCAGAUUUCCUAUAACCUUAGGAGGAGCCUCCCGCUGCUAUCCUUUCCUGAUAAGCUCCAGAUAUAUUUUACUGUCUCACCUUCUCCAUAAAAUGGAAUUAGGAGGAAAUAAGGGGCUCUUGGCUUUUAUAAUUUAUUACC